rnacentral:ncRNA from 1 species
GGGUGUCCGCGAUUUUACGUAUGGACAGGUGAUAGCGCUGGUCGGGCCGCCAGCG